UGCCCUGAAAACCCAGCUUGUGUGCUGGAGAC
rnacentral:piRNA from 1 species